GGAGAGAUGGCCGAGUGGACGAAGGCGCGCGAUUCGAAAUCGCGUACCCGUGAAAACGGGUCGGGGGUUCAAAUCCCUCUCUCUCCG
rnacentral:tRNA from 1 species